rnacentral:rRNA from 1 species
GACGUAGGGCGCGAGCGUUGUCCGGAUUUAUUGGGCGUAAAGAGCUCGUAGGCGGCUUGUCGCGUCGAAUGUGAAAUCCUGCGGCUCAACUGCAGGCUUGCAUUCGAUACGGGCAGGCUAGAGUCCGGAAGAGGCGAGUGGAAUUCCCGGUGUAGCGGUGAAAUGCGCAGAUAUCGGGAGGAACACCAAUGGCGAAGGCAGCUCGCUGGGACGGUACUGACGCUGAGGUGCGAAAGCGUGGGGAGCAAACAGGG